AAGUCGUAACAAGGUUUCCGUAGGUGAACCUGCGGAAGGAUCAUUAGCGUAAUUAAAUGAGUGUUUAGCGAUGCGCAAGUGAGCGAAAGCGAGCCUGUUGCACUGCGACACUACAUUUUUAAACCAUGUGAACCUGGACAAGUUUAUGCUGAUGGUUUGGUUUGGAGCUGUGUAUGCAGUGACGGAUUGGACCAUUGGCAUUUGACAAACCAUUUUACAAUUAUUAUAUAUCAUCUAUAUAACUAUAACCAAACACACAACUUUUAACAAUGGAUCUCUAGGAUCCU
rnacentral:misc_RNA from 1 species